GGUCAGGUAGCUCAGUCGGUAGAGCAGUGGACUGAAAAUCCACGUGUCGACGGUUCGAUUCCGCCCCUGACCA
rnacentral:tRNA from 3 species